AUGACCUUAAGGACAGAAUGAAUAAAUCUUGUAAAUACAGAGAAGAUUAUCUUGGCUACUGUGCAAGGAUGGCAGACAAAUUCAUGAAGUGUUGCAUAUUUUU